AUAUAGACAAUAAUUGUAACCUCUACAUACGUUUAAAAAAAAAAAAAAAUGUGUGACCACGCUAGCCACUGUCAUACUAAUUUUCUAUGUUGAUGUAU